GCAUAUAUAGCUCAGCGGUAGAGCGGGAGCCUCAUAAGUUCCAGGUCGAUGGGUCAGCACCAUCUAUAUGCACCA
rnacentral:tRNA from 2 species